rnacentral:rRNA from 1 species
AAUCUUCCGCAAUGGACGAAAGUCUGACGGAGCAACGCCGCGUGAGUGAUGAAGGCUUUCGGGUCGUAAAACUCUGUUGUCAGGGAAGAACAUCCGGGAUGACCUCCCGGUCUGACGGUACCUGAUCAGAAAGCCCCGUCUACCUACGUGCCAGCAGCCGCGGUAAUACGGAGGGGGCAAGCGUUGUCCGGAAUUAUUGGGCGUAAAGGGUGCGUAGGCGGCCUUUUAAGUCAGAUGUGAAAGCCCACGGCUCAACCGUGGGAUUGCAUUUGAAACUGGAGGGCUUGAGUAUCGGAGAGGGUAGUGGAAUUCCCAGUGUAGCGGUGAAAUGCGUAGAUAUUGGGAGGAACACCAGUGGCGAAGGCGGCUCUCUGGACUGUAACUGACGCUGAGGCGCGAAAGCGUGGGGAGCGAAC